CUAGAGUUUUGAUCAUGGCUCAGAUUGAACGCUGGCGGCAUGCCUUACACAUGCAAGUCGAACGGCAGCACGGGAGCUUGCUCCUGGUGGCGAGUGGCGAACGGGUGAGUAAUAUAUCGGAACGUGCCCUAGAGUGGGGGAUAACUAGUCGAAAGAUUAGCUAAUACCGCAUACGAUCUAUGGAUGAAAGUGGGGGAUCGCAAGACCUCAUGCUCCUGGAGCGGCCGAUAUCUGAUUAGCUAGUUGGUGAGGUAAAGGCUCACCAAGGCGACGAUCAGUAGCUGGUCUGAGAGGACGACCAGCCACACUGGAACUGAGACACGGUCCAGACUCCUACGGGAGGCAGCAGUGGGGAAUUUUGGACAAUGGGCGCAAGCCUGAUCCAGCAAUGCCGCGUGAGUGAAGAAGGCCUUCGGGUUGUAAAGCUCUUUUGUCAGGGAAGAAACGGUUGUGGCUAAUAUCCAUGACUAAUGACGGUACCUGAAGAAUAAGCACCGGCUAACUACGUGCCAGCAGCCGCGGUAAUACGUAGGGUGCAAGCGUUAAUCGGAAUUACUGGGCGUAAAGCGUGCGCAGGCGGUUGUGCAAGACAGAUGUGAAAUCCCCGGGCUUAACCUGGGAAUUGCAUUUGUGACUGCACGGCUAGAGUGUGUCAGAGGGGGGUAGAAUUCCACGUGUAGCAGUGAAAUGCGUAGAUAUGUGGAGGAAUACCGAUGGCGAAGGCAGCCCCCUGGGAUAACACUGACGCUCAUGCACGAAAGCGUGGGGAGCAAACAGGAUUAGAUACCCUGGUAGUCCACGCCCUAAACGAUGUCUACUAGUUGUCGGGUCUUAAUUGACUUGGUAACGCAGCUAACGCGUGAAGUAGACCGCCUGGGGAGUACGGUCGCAAGAUUAAAACUCAAAGGAAUUGACGGGGACCCGCACAAGCGGUGGAUGAUGUGGAUUAAUUCGAUGCAACGCGAAAAACCUUACCUACCCUUGACAUGUACGGAAUCCUGAAGAGAUUUGGGAGUGCUCGAAAGAGAGCCGUAACACAGGUGCUGCAUGGCUGUCGUCAGCUCGUGUCGUGAGAUGUUGGGUUAAGUCCCGCAACGAGCGCAACCCUUGUCAUUAGUUGCUACGAAAGGGCACUCUAAUGAGACUGCCGGUGACAAACCGGAGGAAGGUGGGGAUGACGUCAAGUCCUCAUGGCCCUUAUGGGUAGGGCUUCACACGUCAUACAAUGGUACAUACAGAGGGCCGCCAACCCGCGAGGGGGAGCUAAUCCCAGAAAGUGUAUCGUAGUCCGGAUUGGAGUCUGCAACUCGACUCCAUGAAGUUGGAAUCGCUAGUAAUCGCGGAUCAGCAUGUCGCGGUGAAUACGUUCCCGGGUCUUGUACACACCGCCCGUCACACCAUGGGAGCGGGUUCUGCCAGA
rnacentral:rRNA from 1 species